CUCAAACUUCUCUUUACGUUUAUCACAGGAAAUGCCACCUGAAACUCUUGCAUUACAUCAGCCAAGGUUUUUGCUGCAAGGUGGGGAAGUGCAAACAGAAUAGACAUGACCAGAGAAUUCAUGAUCGAAGUCAAAGUGGAGGAUAGAAACUGCCAUCAUAGAAACCAUGUGGGGCUGCACAUUCCAAGCAUUUGAAACUGUCCCCAUUCCAAGUUCCAAGGAAACAGACCACAUCCACACUCUCCACCCUAUGUCAACAUGCUCUACCAUAGUCUUCUCAUCUCUUUUGUUUGGUUAUCUUCAAAAGAAAAAGUUGAAUAAAUAUUUGAAGAUAAGCUCAGAAUCAAGAGGACUUUCCCUUUUGUUCUUCUAUAAAUUGAAAGACAUAUAUGUUUAUAAAAAUAAAAGUAAAAAUACCACAUGUGUGGCUCAGUGUCAGAAGACUUG
rnacentral:lncRNA from 1 species